CACUCGAAUGAUACCUAUUCCUCAUAUAUACACGAGUACGGGAAUUCUAAAAUCUGAACAAAAUGAUUUAAUUUUUAUUCUGUUUCAGGGUACCCAUUCUUCGGUAUAUUCUUCAUGAUGGCAACAUCUGGGGUUUGUGGCUGUGGGUGUAAACUGAAGCUUGGCACUGGCAGGAAACUGAUGCAUAGAGUUUGGUAGAAGAUUAGAAAAAGCCAAUGUACAUGACCAAGCCACUUCUUGAUUGAAGAAGAUAGCUUGCAAAGAUUACGACUAAGCUUCUAGCUAGGAGGUGAUAGUUAGUAAAAUUAUCAGAUCAUCUUUUAUGAUGUUGUACCGUGUUGUGUAGUACUGAAGUGGGAAUAGUCAAGUGAAACGAAGAUUGCUUGUAAUGCAUGAACAUUUGUGAAUGUACCAGUUAGAUCAACUUUGUACUAUACAUUGGUCUGCUUA